rnacentral:rRNA from 2 species
CAACUUUCAACAACGGAUCUCUUGGCUCUUGCAUCGAUGAAGAACGCAGCGAAAUGCGAUAAGUAAUGUGAAUUGCAGAAUUCCGUGAAUCAUCAAAUCUUUGAACGCAAAUUGCACUCUUUGGUAUUCCGAAGAGUAUGCUUGCUUGAGGGUUGGA